ensembl:lncRNA
CCGAGGCGGUGCCCGAUGCCGAGGCGGUCCCCGAUGCCGAGGCGGUGCCCGAGGCGGUUCCCGAUGCAAUGUCCGAUGCCGUUCCUGAGGCCAUUCCCGAGGCGGUGCCCGAUGCCGAGGUCGUUCCCGAGGCGGUGCCCGAGGCCGUUCCCGAGGCGGAGCCCGAGGUCGUGCCCGAGGCCGUUCCCGAGGCGGUGUCCUUGUCCAAUGCCGUUCCUGAGGCCGUUCCUGAGGCCGUUCCUGAGGCCGUUCCUGAGGCCGUUCCUGAGGCCAUUCCUGAGACCGUUCCCGAGGCGGUGCCCGAUGCCGAGGUCGUUCCCGAGGCGGUGUCCUUGUCCGAUGCCGUUCCUGAGGCCGUUCCUGAGACCAUUCCCGAGGCGGUGCCCGAUGCCGAGGCCGUUCCCGAGGCGGGGUCCUUGUCCAAUGCCGUUCCUGAGGCCAUUCCUGAGGCCGUUCCCGAGGCGGUGCCCUUGUCUGAGGCCGUUCCCGAUGCCGUUCCCAAUGCCGUGACCUGGCCAUCGCCACAGCCUGCUCCUUACUGGCUCCCCGAUUGGCAGGUUCCGUUCGGGCCACUCAAAUGGCGAAUUCCUCCCUGGCCGUCUGCACAACGAGAAUGGACUGAUCCACCGUGGCCACCUGAACUGCCUGG